UAAAGCUCCUAUGAGAAAUACCACCCAACCAGCAUUGCCAUAGUUAUCCUUCCAAAUAAAACAUUUAUAUUCAAAAUGCAUGCUUAUUAGCUUUUUUUUGAAAUACAGAUAACAAUAUUUCUUCCUGAACUGCUUGCUAAGCACAUUAACAUGCAUUUUAUCCAAAUGUAGUGAAUAAUACACUUAGACCAUCAUCAGGGGAAAUCAUCAUUAAAAUUCAUUCAAGUGCAAGAAAACAAUUAGCCAAUAGCUUUUUGACCAACCUGCACUAUUUGGUCUAGGCUCCCAGUAUGUCCUUUCAGAAUAAACAACUUCAGGGAGGCAACUACACAGAUUACAGGGCACAGUGAGAAAUCAAAGUGCCUGGAAGCGUUAUCAAGGAACAACAGAUGUUUGCUUGUGAGCUGGGGUCAUUGGCUUUAACUCACAGAGGAAAAUGAUCUUUAGAAAUUAGGCAAGCCUAGUGUUAUCAGUCACUCUUGUGGAAUCUUUGCACACUGGAAAACCACCCAGGUGUGAAAGCCAUCUCCAUUCUGUGUGAGAUGGCUGGGAGGGACUGGCUCAUUCCUCUUUGUGGCCUUUUGUUGGUAACUUGCUCUUUCUAAAACUCUUCUGAAAAAUAGGGAUGUAGUACAGGGAUACUCAAGUAGUCUUUUGCACUGGGAAAUGUGGGCACUGGUAAUUCAAGAGGGAGAAGGAGAGAAUAAAAUGUUCCUAAAUUUUUGAGAUGGCUUUUUCAACAUUUAAAAACAAUGAAAUUUUUAAGAGAAAUUGUUUUUGUUUUUUUGUUUUUUUUGAGACAGAGUCUCGCUCUCGCCCAGGCUGGAGUGCAGUGCCGCGAUCUUGGUUCACUGCAAGCUCCGCCUCCCGGGUUCACACCAUUCUCCUGCCUCAGCCUCUUGAGUAGCUGGGACUACAGGAGCCUACCACCACGCCCGCCUAAAUUUUUUUUUUUUUUUUUUUUUUUUGUAUUUUUAGUAGAGACGGGAUUUCACCAUGUUAGCCAGGAUGAUCUCAAUCUCCUGACUUCGUGAUCCGCCCGCCUCGGCUUCCCAAAGUGCUGGGAUAACAGGCGUGAGCCACCGCGCCCGGUCAAGAGAAGUUUUAAGUCUCCUAAAACAUUAAUGAUAAACUGCAUUUUAUUCUUCAAAACAAUUGUAUGUUUUAUUCUUCAAACUAAGUAUUUAUGGCAAAUACACAGAUAUGGGUUCAAAUCCUUGUAGCUACUUACUUGUGUGUGUGUGUGUUUGCAUAUACAUUUUAAAAUUAGAUUCUUUUCUUUUUAGUAAAAGCUAAAAGCAAGUAAGUAGAAAAGAAUAUUGGGACAUCUCACCAACUGGAGGCUGCAGUAUUAAGGUGUCUCAGUUCUUCUUGGUGGGCUCAGUGGAGCUUAUGUAAAAGAGGCAUGCCUGCAUGCUCAUCUCCUUGAGGAUAGUCUUGUUGAGUUAACAGGUUGAGGUAAGCCUUGCUAAAUUUACCACUAGAGGCUCACACACCCAAAAGUGGUAAACAGACCACUCCAGCUCCCUGGAACAUUGCCAGUUCCAUGGAUUUGUGUGACACUCAAGCUGUGAUAGAUGCAUCAACAUUGUCUAUACCUCUGUUCAUGUAUUAUUUACUUAAGCUAAUGUGGAUAAGCUUGAUCAUUUGCAUUCACUCUGACAACUCAAACAAACGCUUGUCCAUAACCACUGCCAAUCUGCAAUAUAUGAAUGUUUUGACAGUGUUAUAAAAUUCCCAAAAGAAACAAUAUAAUUGGUCUAGCUGGGGCAAAAAUAUCUUCUUUAUUCCAAUCCACAAUUACCAUAUAUGACAACGUAGAACACAAAUAUAGUUGGUGCCCUGUCCUUCCUUGGCCUUUCCAAGGACCUGGGGUCAUCAGGACUUGGGCAGGUAUCUUAGAAAACCUUGACUACAAUUAAUAACUUUUUCUCCCUGUGCCAGUUUCUUCAUAGAAAUGGAGACAAUCACACCUAUUUUCUACCAUAUCUACUUUAUUAUAUUUUCAUAGUGUCCUAAUCUGCUGUACAUUUUAUUUACUUAUUAAUAUAAAUAUUCUAUGUUUUUCUCCAAUGGAAUGUAAGCUUUGUGAGAGGACAGGUGCUUGAUUUCUUUACCGCUAAAUCCCCAGUGUCUUACAAAAUGUUUGGCACAAAGUAGAUUCUCUAUAAAUAUGUAUUGAAAGGUUAUGAAGUGAUUUAGUGUUGUAAGGAUGAAAUGAGAUAAGCUAAGCAAAGUAUCUGUGAUUAUGUAAGAUGAGCAAUAAAUAGUGGCUAUUAAUGUUCUUGUAUUUAACGUUUUCAAAAUAUCAUAUUCCAUUACAAAAUAGCAGAAACAGUUAACACUUAAAGAUCUAUUAGGUACCAUGCACUGUUCUAAGCAUGUUACAUGAAUUAACACAUUUAGUUCUCACCACAGCCUUAUGAGGUAAGUAGGUAGAAUGUUAUCUUCAUUUUCUAAGUGUGGAAACUUCAGUUAUGCAAUUUGCCCAAGGUCACUCAACUACCAGGUGGCAGUGCUGGGAUUCACAUUAGGCAGUGUAUAUUUAGAUCCAUGAUGCUUUCCCAAAGCCAAGCCCUACUCUGGGAUGCUGCAGCACACUCUAGCUCUUUGAAACUCCAUAAUUAUCCUGUGAGUUAGGUACUAUUUUACCUUAUUUUCCAGCUCAGAAAGAUUAAACGUAGACCUCAGGUUUUCUAGGGCCACACACCUAGUUUAGGCCUUGGAGCUGUUUACGACCUAUAGGAAGGACUAUUACCAUUACGGUAUAAAUUCAUCACUCAUUCCCUGCAGCCUGGAAACAGAAC
rnacentral:lncRNA from 1 species